GAAACGGGAGCUUUAUUCUACCGUAGGAUCCUGUCUGCGGAACGCAUAUAAACUUAGGCAUUUCUUCCUCUGGUGCCCACGUUCCAUAACUGAGGAUGGCGGGUGUCUCUGGGGGGCUAUGAAGGUGUGGAUGCCUGUGAUAAUGUCACUCCUUGAUGCUUCUGUUGGGUGAUGCCACCAAACCCUGGAUUCUUCUAGCUCCACUGGAUGUGUAGGUAUAUUAGGGAGGGUCUUCUGAGUUAAAGCAAA
ensembl:misc_RNA Gm27698 predicted gene, 27698